CCUGGGGAGUACGAUCGCAAGGUUGAAACUCAAAGGAAUUGACGGGGGCCCGCACAAGCAGUGGAGCAUGUGGUUCAAUUCGAUGCAACGCGAAGAACCUUACCUGGGUUUGAAAAGCAAGAUUCUAGUCCCUGAAAGGGGAUUACCCGCAAGGGGUCUUGUACAGGUGCUGCAUGGCUGUCGUCAGCUCGUGCCGUGAGGUGUUAGGUUAAGUCCUGCAACGAGCGCAACCCCUACAUUUAGUUGCCAUCAGGUAAUGCUGGGCACUCUAAAUGGACUGCCUACGCAAGUAGUGAGGAAGGUGGGGAUGACGUCAAGUCCUCAUGGCCCUUACACCCAGGGCCACACACGUGCUACAAUGGCCACUACAAAGGGCUGCAAUACCGCAAGGUGGAGCUAAUCCCAAAAAAGUGGUCUCAGUUCGGAUUGAGGGCUGCAACUCGCCCUCAUGAAGCUGGAAUUGCUAGUAAUCGUAGAUCAGCACGCUACGGUGAAUACGUUCCCGGGCCUUGUACACACCGCCCGUCAAGCCAUGGAAACUGGGGGUACCCGAAGUCGCUGUCCGAACCCGCAAGGGACGGAGGUGCCUAAGGUAAAACCAGCGACUGGGGCUAAGUCGUAACAAGGUAGCCGAAUCGA
rnacentral:rRNA from 1 species